GGGAAAGGUGGUCCUGAUUCCCCCAUGCAGUGGCACACCAAGCUGACGCUGGCCUCCUGCGGAGACGCCUCAGCGCCCUCCUGCAGACCUCACGCCCCCCCACCCCCAGGAACCCCGGCCCUGGCCUGGUCUAGCGAGUCCCCCCUCCUCCCCGGGAGCAGCCGGUGAAGCUCCGGUGGAGGAAGCGAGGAGGAGACCCAGGAGGAGGAUGCCGCUGCCGCUGCCGCCGCCGCCGCCGCUGCAGGGCCCAGGGCUCCUGUAGGGCACGAGGCCUCCCACAUCAGGGUCCCUCCCACCCGCCCUCCUGGGAGUGCAGAGACUCCGUCCGGAUGGAGGUGGGGAAGCCAGUCCCGCCAAGGAACCGGAGUUCGCGGCGCAGAGGGGAGGAGCGUGACCCCCAGGCUCACCCCUGGGGUCGCAGGACCCGGCGAGCGGAGAUCCACGCGGCCAGCGUCACCCACCCGAGCCUGGCGACGGGCGCGUCCAGGCGAGCUCCGCGGGGCCGAGGUGCCAGGAGAAGCAGCCCCGGGCGCCCGCGCGCUGCCCGCCGAGGGGUACCAGAAAUGCCGCGCCUCGGGGUCGAAGUCAUAAAGUUACUAAUCCCGCGCAGGGGGAGCAAGCGUGCCUCGGGCCGCCUGGGGCGGUCAUUUGAGCGUGUUUACUUAAGGACUUUGCAAGCGGAGCGCGCGCGAAAUAGUCGGAUUUCCAGCGAGGCAGCAAAUAUUUGCAGGCGGGAGAAAGAAGCGGAGCCGGGCCGCGCCGUUAAAGACAGAAAUGAAGCCGGAACCUGCGGGGCUGGGGGCGGGGAGGGCACAGAGCGACAGCAAAGGCCAGAAAUUGGAGCGCGGCCCCGAGGCCCUUGCGAGCCGGGGCUGGAGGAGGAGAAAUCCCUCCCCAUUCCAGCUCGAUCAAUCUUCCUUGGCUGCGAUCGCUCAAUAAAAAUGUCCCCACCCGAGCCCCCGUCUCUUUCCCGCAUGAGCUGAAAUGAAGAGAAGGAAGCGAAACCAAAAGGAAACCCUCCCGGGCCUGGAGGGGCAGCGAGAGAUGGGGAGUCAGAGACAAGAGAUGCGCUCCGAGAUUACCCCCUCCCGCCCCGCCCCCACCGCCAGCCUGGGACCUCCAGCUUCAAGCGAUCCUGGCCCUCCCUCUGCCGCUUCCCCCCUUCUCCCCGGUUGAGAAAAACCCUGAUGGUAUCGAGAUAAAAAUUGGGUAGGUAGGGGUGUAGCGGGAAGGAGGAGAGAGAGGGAGAAGACAGGGGAUUUCUGCUUUCGGGUUUAAUAGGGCCCCUGUCAAGGGGCCUUGGCAAAGGGGGGAGCCCCGCGGUUGGGUAGGAAAGAACGAUUCCCCCUUGAGGGUGAGUCGAAAGGAAUGCCAGGCGCCCUGGAGGAAGAUGCACCUCCCAGCUCUCCCUCCCUCGUGGUCUGGGGGACAGGUGAGAGGCACAAGAGGAGAGGAAGCGAUGGAGGCGGCGCUCCAGCGGGUCCGCGCGGUGCCUCCCGGCCCCAGGCCGCUUAUCUGGCCCCCAGCGGCACCGCCGACUCUCAGGAAGGCGCUCUCCUCCCCGGGGGUCCUCAGGCGGCACCGCCGAAGCGUCUGGGACUCCCAGGGAAGGGAGCGGCCACCGCAGCCAGGAAAGUGGUCAGAAGUACGAGGUCAACCGUGUGAACUCCAGGUCCUAGCAUUUUUUGGGGCGAAGAGGGGUGCACGUGGGGCGCCUGCUCCACUCCCCGUAGCCUCGCGGGGCUCCUGGCUUGUCGCCCGCCGCCUCGCCGCCUCCCAGCUCAGAGCCCCCAGCUCCGAGCCCCGAGCGCUCGCUUCAGCCCUUCAGGCGACUCGCCUCGGGUCACUUCAGUGUGGCAUUUCAGGAGCCGGAGGGCUUUAACUGGGGGCUAUUGUGUUUUUACUUCUCUUGAUAAGCCGGAAAACUGGGGUGUGAUGGUUGCUGGACAAUGGACCGCGGGCUUCAAGGGAACAGGGAGUUCACAACAGGGAGAGGGGCAAUGAGAGAGGGUCGUUUCGUUCAGAUCAGGAGACAGUAGCGGCGAGGUUCUAAAAGCACGAAUUGUCAUUUGUUCCUUUGGACACGCUGGAGACCCGAUGGGGAAAUCUGCGCUUCUGCCCGCCUCAAAGGUGUCAAGAAGCCACCUUCCCGCGGGCCCCCUCCGCCUCUCCAUCCCUCCAGGACUGCGCCCUGCCGGCCGUCUCUCCCCGCCAGGCCCCGGCUCGCGCUCGGCUCGCCGCCGCCUGCCACCUCGUGGAGCCCAAGCAAUUUGUUACAUAAAACAAAACAGCAGCCACACACAUGUGCCUGCAGACCCGCAGCGACGGACACCCAGGGAGACCUCCGCUCAAGCGCCUCGGGCCCCGUGUUUCUUUCUGUCCAUCUAAGGGCCGCAUCCACCGCCACCACCUCUGGUCGCAUCUGCCCGGCGACCAGAAGCUAAGGCAGUUCGGACUCGCGCUCCCGGGCUUGCUGGCCCACUCGCGGCGUUGCCAACCCUCUCUCCGCUGACUCCGACCGUUGAGAAAAAGAGGGGAUCAGAAAUAUUUGGUGCGCGCACAAAGACGUACCACGAAAGGCAUGCACAUUUCUGUGUGAAAUGGCUCAGAUGCGAGAAUGAGACACCGCCUCAGUGCAGCCAGCCCAGAAAUGGUUAGAAUAACCUGGUGCUGGAGAACACUGGGCUUCCGAACUCUGCCCCCAUACAUCUUAUCAGGACCCCGAAUUCCCUGCCACCUCCCAUGUUCCCCGACACAAGCUGCCUUAACCUCCAGGAGAGGGAUUCUCAGCCACCCGGCUCCCACGUACCUGCCCCCUCCCCAGGCUCUCUGUGUCACUCUGGGCUGGGGGGCUCCCAAAAGAGGCUCCACCACUGAGUGUCCAGGGGCAGCUACUCCCAUCUCUUCACUGCACCCCGACUUACCCCACCUCGUGUAACACCUGGAAAUAUCAAAUAAAGGAAAAUGCAGUGUCCCCUGUCUCCAGACUUUUCGCAGGACAGACUAACCCCAACCCUGAGUCCCCCAGGGUUGACAGAGAUAUCUUGUGUAGAAUGGAGGGUGGGCCUGUGGGAUGCAGGGGCUUGUAUGCUGAGUGCCACACACCCACAUCAUCGAACUCAGCUGGCUCCUCAAGCCAGG
ensembl:lncRNA